AUACUUACCUGGCAGAAGAAAUAGCAGGAUCACGAAGGUGGUUUUCCGGGGGUGAGCAUCAUCCGUUGGACUCCAGAUAGGCUGACCCCUGUGAUUUCUCCAAAUGAAGGACGCUCAAAUGCAUUGAUUCGUGGUAGUAGGGGAUUGCAUCCACGUUCUCUCCUG